CAAAGAGUAGUUUAAGUUAAAAUGCUAGUUUUGGGGGCUAGAGAUGGGGAUUCUCUUCUUUGA
rnacentral:tRNA from 1 species